UAAUUAAUAUAAAACUCGUGUUCUAAGGCUUAAGGUACGAUCAUCAUGUAUUAGCCUGCUGGGAAAGACGAAACGUGAAUCAAAUCCACAAGGGUUUCACUGUAACCAGAAGAAAAUACAAGCACAGAUAUAACAAGAUUAAGACUCAGAGAGGGAGUCAAAGACAAUUUUUUAUUGAGCUCUGCUUGAAUGGACCCAAUGGCUGAAGAGCAAAUAGAUUAUGAAGAUGAGGAGUAUGGAGGGGGUCAGAAGAUGAUGUAUCAGGGAGGUGGAGCCAUACCUGCGCUUGCAGAUGAAGAACUGAUGGGAGAAGAUGAUGAAUUUGAUGAGCUCUAUAACGAUGUUAAUGUUGGAGAGGGUUUAUUGCACUUUCAGCAGCCUGAAGUACCACCUCCACAGAGUGCCAGUGGUGUGGGUAAUGGAGGUCUUCAAACUCAAAAACCUGAGGUUCCUGAACCUCGGCUGCAACCUGGGGGUUCACAAGGCCCAAACGUCCCUGGUGUUUCUGUUGAAGUAAAGUUUUCUAAUUCUGGAACCCGUUUUCCUGCUCAAAAUGAGGGACAGGUGGCUGUUAACAGACCAGACAUCGGAUCUGCGAGUUAUGCAGAUGGGGCUUCUGUUUCCCAAAAAGGGAAUGUUGUGGAGAUGAAUCAUGAUGCCCCAAUCAGAAAUACGGGGUUUCAAGGGUCUACGUCAGUGCCCCAAAAAGCUGCGCUUGAUCCAUCUAAUAUGCCUGGAAGAGUAGUCAAUGAGCCUGCACCUUUGCUAAAUCCUGGCACUGGUGGCCCUCAAGGUGUUAUACAGAUUCCAGGUAAUCAGAUGAGUGUACAUGCUAAUGUCAAUCGUCCUAUGGUGAAUGAUAAUCAGAUCCGGCCACCUAUGGAGAAUGGUGGGACUAUGCUGUUUGUAGGAGAAUUACACUGGUGGACAACUGAUGCAGAACUUGAAAGUGUUUUAUCUCAGUAUGGAAGAGUCAAGGAAAUUAAGUUUUUUGAUGAGAGAGCUAGUGGAAAAUCCAAAGGUUAUUGUCAAGUUGAAUUCUAUGAUUCAGGUGCCGCAGCUGCUUGCAAAGAGGGAAUGAAUGGUUAUGUUUUUAAUGGACGAGCAUGUGUUGUAGCUUUUGCUUCUCCACAAACGUUGAAGCAAAUGGGAGCUUCUUAUAUGAAUAAAAACCAGGGUCAGCCUCAGUCUCAACCUCAGGGAAGGAGACCCAUGAAUGAUGGUGCAGGGAGAGGUGGUAAUAUGAAUUAUCAAGGUGGUGAUGGAGGUAGGAACUAUGGAAGGGGUGGCUGGGGACGAGGUGGGCAGGGUGUACCCAACAGAGGUCCUGGAGGUGGACCAAUGAGGGGAAGAGGAGGGGCUAUGGGUGCAAAGAAUAUGGUUGGAAGCAAUGCUGGUGCUGGAAGCGCUGGCGGUGGUGGGGGUUAUGGACAAGGGCUUGCAGGUCCUGGAUUUGGGGGUCCAGCUGGUGGUAUGAUGCAUCCUCAGAAUAUGAUGGGUGGGUUUGAUCCAACAUAUAUGGGUCGAGGAGCAGCUUAUGGGGGAUUUUCAGGUCCUGGUUUUCCUAACAUGCUUCCUUCAUUUCCUGCUGUUAAUGCAAUGGGACUUGCUGGAGUGGCUCCUCAUGUCAACCCAGCGUUCUUUAGUCGUGGGAUGGCAGCUAAUGGGAUGGGAAUGAUGGGUUCUUCUGGAAUGGACGGACCUCAUCCGGGAAUGUGGACUGACUCAAGUAUGGGUGGAUGGGGAGGGGAGGAGCAUGGGCGGAGGACAAGGGAGUCAAGUUAUGGUGGAGAUGAUGGUGCUUCUGAUUAUGGGUAUGGAGAGGCAAAUCAUGAAAAGGGAGUAAGGUCAAGUGCAGCCUCUCGGGAAAAGGAACGGGUUUCUGAACGUGACUGGUCAGGGAGUACUGAUAGGAGGCAUCGUGAAGAGAGAGAACCAGACUGGGACAGGUCUGAAAGGGAUCACAGGGAUCACAGGUACAGGGAAGAAAAAGAUAGUUACCGCGACCAUCGACAAAGAGAACGCGACUCAGCAUAUGAAGAUGACUGGGAUAGGGGGCAGUCUUCUUCAAGAUCUCGAAGCAAGUCUAGAGCAAUGCCAGAAGAAAAUCACAGGUCUCGAUCAAGGGAUGCAGAUUAUGGGAAGAGGAGACGACUACCGUCAGAGUGACAGAAUUUGCUGUUCAUUCAUCUGUGGCAAAUCGUACAUGACUCAAAUUCUAGAAUUCACCCUUAGUGUUUUGCUCUUGGGUUGUUAAAGUGCAUCAACAAUUGCUCUCCCUGCUUUUCAUCGGCCCAAAUGCAGACAGUGACUUCUUGAGGGAAAAGGAGUGGAGUGGGCAACUCUCUGUUUUCAUGAGUGGAUGUGCCUGGAGGAAGAUGUGUUUGAUGGUCUGCAUUCAUUACUAACUCAAAUAUUGGCCUUGGUCUGUCAAGUGAGCAAAAGAAGCCUUGACAAUUUUGCUUUGACCUUUUUUUCCUCAAGCGCCCUUAAGAUCUGUAAUUUGCUCUCCGGGAAGAAAAUGCAUAGAAAUAGUUGGGAGUCUUGAACUUGUCAAAUAUGGAAUGGAUGUUGAUUAUAGGGUUUUCAUACCACUUUGUAAAGCAUCAUUUCACCUGUAAAGUCAAGUACAUGUAUUAGGUACCAGCAUUUAAUGGCCUCCUUCAUUAUUUAUUUGACCAUUUGUGGCUCACUGUGAGCUUGUAAAAGAGUUGUACUGACUUUGAGGCCUAUACUUUGUCAUAUUUGAUUUGGUGUAAUUGAGGAUUUUAAUUGUGAUUGGAUCCUCAGUGAUGAGCUAUUAAUACAUUGUAAUCUGCGUUGCUGUUCCACGUGUAAUUGGUUUUUGUAACAUAUAUAAUAUUAAUUUCUGUUACCAUGAGAGUGUAAAGGAUUUUCAACAUUUCGUAUUUUAAAUUCAAUUUAUGUAAAUUUUGACGUUUACUGGCGCAUAAGAGUCAUACGUUGUGGACUUCGCUGCAUUGUAAAUGGGCUGGACCAAGAGUUUUGGUUGUUUUGGGUAUGUUUCGUCGUUGAAGGCGUGAUGUUGUGCUCCUUGUGAAUUUCUCUUUCCCUGUAGUAAACUUGUUGUAAGAAGAUUUUGUAAAGCAUUUCAAUUGUACUACUUUUCUUGGUGGAAUUUUUUUGUAUAGAUCAAGUUUCCUGGAUUGCAUGCCAGAAAUUUUAAAAUAGGUUGGACAAUUUUCUGGUUAGUUUCAAUAGGGAGUGGUACUGUUUAUUCAAUGUGUAUUAGAUUUUUCCUGUUCCCCUAUCUCCUUGUAUCUGUGUAUGAGGCAAGACAACAUCAGUGUUCAAGGUGGCAUAUACUCAAUUACCUGCCUUCCCCUGUGUUGUUCUGAUGCUCUACUUGCUUAAUAAGGAAACUGCAAGAGUUGGGUUCACAAUUUUCCUGCCGGCUGCUGCAAUAUGUACUUGCACAUCUUCUCUUACUUUUGGAUGGCUUCUGUAUUCUUAAACAAGUCACUUUGUAGAUAUUUUUCCAUUCUUUUUGGUUUUGAGUUCUGUAAUUGGGUGUUUGCUAUGAUUGUUGAUUUGUAGUUCUGUGUAAUCAGUCUUCUUGCCA